AAAACCCAUAUAUCGCAAUGAAAGAGGAAAGCUUUUCUAGAUAUGUUUUCUUCUGGAGUCCUUUAUCCCUGUGAUCUCAGAAAAUUACUCCAGGAGAUCAGGUUUUACCAUCCAAGGUUCACUUUGUUUAAAAGCUGAUUCUUCGUAAGGUAUAAGUGACAUCAGAUGACCCCACAAACAAAGCAUUAUGACAUCAUCAGAGCUGACAACCUGCCAUGACAGAUACUAAUAAGGAAGAAAGGGGGUUACAGGAAUCCUGACACGCCUCACUGUAAAGUCAACAUCUGGUCCCUUGGGUUUUGUAUGUCUUGUAAAGGAUCUUUGUAGGAGGGAAAACAAUUAGAAAUGACCAUCAAGUUCAAGGAGGUGAUUCUCCUUUACCUCACAAACUACCCCAACUCCACCUCCUGGAAGAGAGAAAGAAACAGAACGUACACAAGCUGUAGAUGUGCCUGAGGUCUUCCCUUCAGAGGUAUUCAGACAACAGUUUAAAAAUAUAGACGUUGCUCCUUAGGACCUGAAUUGAACUUGAAGGAGAUCAUUGGCUUUAAUCAUCUUGUAUACUGUAUCUGCUAGAUAUCAGUAGACACUGAAACAAAUAUUUGCUGAAUGAAUGACAACAUGAUGAAUCCAAGCAAAUGAAGCUUUCAUGAGAAUCAAAAAGGUAAGCCUUGCCCUCUUUGACAUUAUUGUGCACAUCUACAGAACAUUUUACGGUGCCAUCCCUUCUGCAUAUAGGCUACCAAAGUUCUGAAAUUUAACAACGAAGUGGUAAAUAAUCCAUAAUUUUUAAAAUCAUAAAUUUUACAAAAUAAGAUGACUGUUAAAGGGAAAGGGCUAAUGUUUUCAGUAAUUUGUAUUUUAACAGCAUUUCCUCAAAGGAGGAUUUUAUUUAUACCAGUAUUAUGUUUUAUGUCAUUAUCAGGAAAACAGCAUAUCCUACUUAUCCUAUUCUCUAAGAAAUUCCUGACCAAUAUUUUAAUUCUAGCCUUUAGGGAAGGGUCAAGAAAACGAACCAUAACAUUUUAGAGCAAGAGAGGAGUUUGCAAGUAACUAUGUAAUCUCUCACCCUAAGAAAUGAUAACAUCAUUGAUGUACAGAAGGGCCGA